rnacentral:rRNA from 1 species
UGGGGAAUCUUGGACAAUGGGCGCAAGCCUGAUCCAGCAAUGCCGCGUGAGUGAAGAAGGCCUUCGGGUUGUAAAGCUCUUUUGUCAGGGAAGAAACGGUAGUAGCGAAUAACUAUUACUAAUGACGGUACCUGAAGAAUAAGCACCGGCUAACUACGUGCCAGCAGCCGCGGUAAUACGUAGGGUGCAAGCGUUAAUCGGAAUUACUGGGCGUAAAGCGUGCGCAGGCGGUUGUGUAAGUCAGAUGUGAAAUCCCCGGGCUCAACCUGGGAAUUGCAUUUGAGACUGCACGGCUAGAGUGUGUCAGAGGGGGGUAGAAUUCCACGUGUAGCAGUGAAAUGCGUAGAUAUGUGGAGGAAUACCGAUGGCGAAGGCAGCCCCCUGGGAUAACACUGACGCUCAUGCACGAAAGCGUGGGGAGCAAACAGGAUUAGAUACCCAAGUAGUCCCUGAGCGGGCUGGCAAGGCGCAU